rnacentral:rRNA from 1 species
UACGUAGGGGGCAAGCGUUAUCCGGAUUUACUGGGUGUAAAGGGAGCGUAGACGGCGAUGCAAGUCUGAAGUGAAAGCCCGCGGCUCAACUGCGGAACGGCUUUGGAAACUGAGUAACUGGAGUGCUGGAGGGGCAGGCGGAAUUCCUGGUGUAGCGGUGAAAUGCGUAGAUAUCAGGAGGAACACCGGUGGCGAAGGCAGCCUGCUGGACUGUAACUGACGCUGAUGCUCGAAAGUGUGGGUAUCAAACAGG